GAGUGUCGGGUUAAGUCCCAUAACGAGCGCAACCCUUAUCGUUAGUUGCCAUCUGGUAAUGCAGGGGACUCUAGCGAAACUGCCACCGUAAGGUGAGAGGAAGUGGGAUGACGUCAAAUCAGCACGGCCCUUAUGUCCAGGGCUACACACGUGUUACAAUGGUCGGUACAGAGGGCAGCUACCUGGUGACAGGAUGCUAAUCUCGAAAACCGGUCUCAGUUCGGAUCGAAGUCUGCAACUCGACUUCGUGAAGCUGGAUUCGCUAGUAAUCGCGCAUCAGCUAUGGCGCGGUGAAUACGUUCCCGGGCCUU
rnacentral:rRNA from 1 species